rnacentral:tRNA from 1 species
GCCGUGAUCUAUAGUGGUUAGUACUCUGCGUUGUGGCCGCAGCGCACAGGUUCGAAUCCGGUCACGGCA